rnacentral:misc_RNA from 1 species
GAUGAAGAACGUAGCGAAAUGCGAUAAGUAGUGUGAAUUGCAGAAUUCAGUGAAUCAUCGAAUCUUUGAACGCACAUUGCGCCCUUUGGUAUUCCUUAGGGCAUGCCUGUUCGAGCGUCAUUUAAACCUUAAGCUAAGCUUGGUGUUGGGUGACUGUCCGCUUCACGGCGGACUCGCCUCAAAAUUAUUGGCGGCCGGUACAUUGGCUUCGAGCGCAGCAGAAACGCGAACUCGGGCCCGUCGUAUUGGCUCCCAGAAGCUAUCUUCACAAUUUUGACCUCGGAUCAGGUAGGGAUACCCGCUGAACUUAAGCAUAUCAAUAAGCGGAGGA